UGCAUCAGGUGAUAUAUAAACGUUAUCUGGCUGUGGGUGUCUUUUCAUGGGUCGGCUGUGUCAUUACUUCACCUGUCAGGAACACCAAAGAAUUAAAUACAUUCGAGGGUAUGGAUUACAUUUGGUUCUUCACAAACUUACAUGACAGAGCAGUGGCUACUCGUUCCAAGAAAUAAGGUGACAAGAAAAAUAACUAUACCAGGUCGGAAAACACCGGAAACGUCAUAACAGGCUAAUAAAAAUAGUGUUGCCCGACUACUUGGGCGCAGGUGCCAUAAGGGUACACGGAUUACCUCAGAGAAGCGAACGUCUGAAGCGAUUAGCGGCACCCAACGGAGGAAACAAGCCAAUGGAGAUAGGAGAACAAUCCUUGGUAAUCCUUGAAAAAGAGCGAUCUGAUGAAGAUAUUCAAAACUGACAAAUCUACUAUUGAAAGAUAACUGUAAGUAGCCUGUCACAAGUCUUAAAUUUCUAAAACUUUAGAAAGUAUUAACUGAUCAUGUUUUAAUUGCUUUCCCUCCUUCACCACUAACAAAAUGUUGGAUUUUUUUCAGUUAUAUGUAACAUAUCAGUUUU